GGCGGCGUGCCUAAUACAUGCAAGUCGAGCGGACAGAUGGGAGCUUGCUCCCUGAUGUUAGCGGCGGACGGGUGAGUAACACGUGGGUAACCUGCCUGUAAGACUGGGAUAACUCCGGGAAACCGGGGCUAAUACCGGAUGCUUGUUUGAACCGCAUGGUUCAAACAUAAAAGGUGGCUUCGGCUACCACUUACAGAUGGACCCGCGGCGCAUUAGCUAGUUGGUGAGGUAACGGCUCACCAAGGCAACGAUGCGUAGCCGACCUGAGAGGGUGAUCGGCCACACUGGGACUGAGACACGGCCCAGACUCCUACGGGAGGCAGCAGUAGGGAAUCUUCCGCAAUGGACGAAAGUCUGACGGAGCAACGCCGCGUGAGUGAUGAAGGUUUUCGGAUCGUAAAGCUCUGUUGUUAGGGAAGAACAAGUACCGUUCGAAUAGGGCGGUACCUUGACGGUACCUAACCAGAAAGCCACGGCUAACUACGUGCCAGCAGCCGCGGUAAUACGUAGGUGGCAAGCGUUGUCCGGAAUUAUUGGGCGUAAAGGGCUCGCAGGCGGUUUCUUAAGUCUGAUGUGAAAGCCCCCGGCUCAACCGGGGAGGGUCAUUGGAAACUGGGGAACUUGAGUGCAGAAGAGGAGAGUGGAAUUCCACGUGUAGCGGUGAAAUGCGUAGAGAUGUGGAGGAACACCAGUGGCGAAGGCGACUCUCUGGUCUGUACUGACGCUGAGGAGCGAAAGCGUGGGGAGCGAACAGGAUUAGAUACCCUGGUAG
rnacentral:rRNA from 1 species